AACGAACGCUGGCGGCAGGCCUAACACAUGCAAGUCGAGCGAGACCUUCGGGUCUAGCGGCGGACGGGUGAGUCACGCGUGGGAACGUGCCCUUUUCUACGGAAUAGCCUCGGGAAACUGAGCGUAAUACCGUAUACGCCCUUUUGGGGAAGGAUUUAUCGUAGAAGGAUCGGCCCGCGUUGUUUAAGGUAGUUGGUGGGGUAUUGGCCUACCAAGCCUACGAUCCAUAGCUGGUUUGAGAGGAUGAUCAGCCACACUGGGACUGAGACACGGCCGAGACUCCUACGGGAGGCAGCAGUGGGGAAUCUUAGAAAAUGGGGGCAACGCUGAACGAGCCAGGCCGGGUGAGUGAUGAAGGCCUGAGGGAUGUAAAGCUCUUUCAGAUGGGAAGAUAAUGACGGUACCAGCAGAAGAAGCCCCGGCUAACUCCGUG
rnacentral:rRNA from 1 species